AUUGAACGCUGGCGGCAUGCUUUACACAUGCAAGUCGAACGGUAACAGGGAGCUUGCUCCGCUGACGAGUGGCGAACGGGUGAGUAAUGUAUCGGAACGUACCCAAGAGUGGGGGAUAACGUAGCGAAAGUUACGCUAAUACCGCAUACAAUCUACGGAUGAAAGUGGGGGACCUUCGGGCCUCAUGCUCCUGGAGCGGCCGAUAUCUGAUUAGCUAGUUGGUGAGGUAAAGGCUCACCAAGGCGACGAUCAGUAGCUGGUCUGAGAGGACGACCAGCCACACUGGGACUGAGACACGGCCCAGACUCCUACGGGAGGCAGCAGUGGGGAAUUUUGGACAAUGGGGGCAACCCUGAUCCAGCAAUGCCGCGUGAGUGAAGAAGGCCUUCGGGUUGUAAAGCUCUUUUGUCAGGGAAGAAACGGGUGUGGCUAAUAUCCAUGUCUAAUGACGGUACCUGAAGAAUAAGCACCGGCUAACUACGUGCCAGCCGCCGCCGUAAAAC
rnacentral:rRNA from 1 species